UGGGGAAUAUUGGACAAUGGGCGCAAGCCUGAUCCAGCCAUGCCGCUUGAGUGAUGAAUGCCCUAGGGUUGUAAAGCUCUUUCACCGGUGAAGAUAAUGACGGUAACCGGAGAAGAAGCCCCGGCUAACUUCGUGCCAGCAGCCGCGGUAAUACGAAGGGGGCUAGCGUUGUUCGGAUUUACUGGGCGUAAAGCGCACGUAGGCGGACUUUUAAGUCAGGGGUGAAAUCCCGGGGCUCAACCCCGGAACUGCCUUUGAUACUGGAAGUCUUGAGUAUGGUAGAGGUGAGUGGAAUUCCGAGUGUAGAGGUGAAAUUCGUAGAUAUUCGGAGGAACACCAGUGGCGAAGGCGGCUCACUGGACCAUUACUGACGCUGAGGUGCGAAAGCGUGGGGAGCAAACAGG
rnacentral:rRNA from 1 species